ensembl:snRNA U6 U6 spliceosomal RNA
GUGCUCACUUCGGCAGCACAUUUACUAAAAUCAGACUAAUGUAGAGAUGAUCAAGACCCAUGUGCAAGAAUGAUACAGAAAUUUGAGAAGCACUCCUUAUUUUU